GCUGGGGUGAACUUAUAAUGGUUGAGUGGAGCGCUCGGAAAUAGUUGGUCUUCAGUCUCGUCAGGGCCUCUGCUCACGAACGAAAGAGCUCAUUCAGAGCACAUCAAUAACCAGAACAUAGUGCAUAGUGUUGCAAUUCAACACAGGACUCCUAGACAAGCGACUCAAAGUUUCUGGGCGCUGGAGCUUGCCCGCUAGCUGCUGAAAUCCGCGGACACCACGUUCACACCUAAUUCUCACGAACCCGCAGAAAGGGAGUAUUGAAUUGAGAGUCCAAGCAACCUCAAGCCUCUGAAUACCCAUGGGAGAAGCAACGGGAAUUAAAUGAAGGCACGAGAGUGGGGGGUCAUCUGCGUUUACGUACAGUUAAAAUCUAAAUCAGGAGCUUCUUCGAUGACAUUCAACUGACUUACUCUUCCGAAGGAACGGCUAAAACCGGACUGGAGCGGGCGUGCUAGCUGAGGAGGGAGCUUGUUUCUGUCCUAACUGGAAAAGAUGACUCUGAAGAGGUCUCUGACUCUUCAGGUAAAAUCCUGCGGUGAACUCAUAAUGGAUGCGUGGAGCGCUGAGAAGCAGUUGGUCUUCACAGUCUCGUGCAGGUCUCUCCUCAUGAGUGAAAGAGCUCUUUCAGAACACAACAAGAACCAGAAUAUUGCACUUAGUGUUGCAAUUCAAUACAGGACUCCUAGACAAGCGACUCAAAGUUCCUGGGCGCUGGAGCUUGCCCACUAGCCACUGAUAUCCGCGGACAUCACGUUCACACCUAAUUCUCACGAACCCGCAGAAAAGGAGUAUUGAAUUGAGAGUCCAAGCAACCUCAAGUCUGUAAAUGCCAAUGGGAGAAGCAACGGGAAAUAAGGGAACGCAUGAGAGUGGGGAGUCAUCUGCAUUUAAGCACAAUUAAUAUCUAAAUCAGGAGCCUCUUCGAUGGCGUUCAACUGACUUGCUCUUCCAAAAGAACGGCUAAAACUGGACUGGCGCGGGCUUGCGAGAGCUUGGAAGGACCCUGUAGGAGCUGCCUAGCAGUUCGGAUCACAGAACACUGUUCCCAAGAGGACCCCUUAUUCUGAUGUUUUGAUGGAAGGAGACUACGCGGGGAGGCAUUCCCAGAGACCAAGCUUCCUGCUCCAUCCGCUUCUGAUGGUGUUCCAGGAAACACCCGCAACAAUUGCGACAAGCUCUAACAUUUGCUGCAGAAUUUUGAGUUAUAGCAAUGAUUUGAACAACCUCAAAUGGCCAUCGAUGUUUGACUUUUAAAAUAAAUUUUGGAAGAUCCAUAUAAUGGAAGAUUCUGCAAUUGAUAAAAGGAAUGAGAUGCACUUCUAUUUACUGAAAGGAAAUGCACUAGUAUUUCAGUGGUAGCCCAGUAAGAGGCUACACUUAGUAAGAGGAUACACUAGAAAUCCACUUAUUGUCAGUUUGAGAGCCUGGUAUUGCCUCUAAGAAACUUCAUCUUUUCCCCUUGACAACUCCCCCUUUGACCUCCAGUAAAGGACUCCCCCUGCAUCUCAAAUCAAAGGUAGAUUUUUACUACCUUUUUUUUUUCUUUUUUAA
rnacentral:lncRNA from 1 species